AUUACUAAGCGGAGGAAAAGAAACUAACUAGGAUUCCCUCAGUAGCUGCGAGCGAACAGGGAAGAGCCCAGCACCGAAUCCCGCGGCCGAUACCGGGCGCCGGGAAAUGUGGUGUUAGGGAGGAUCCGUUUAUCCCGAGGUCGUGCGGUGCGUCCAAGUCCUUCUUGAACGGGGCCACAGCCCAUAGAGGGUGCCAGGCCCGUAGCGACCGCUGCCGAUCGCGGGAGGAUCUCUCCUCAGAGUCGGGUUGCUUGAGAGUGCAGCCCUAAGCGGGUGGUAAACUCCAUCUAAGGCUAAAUAUGACCACGAGACCGAUAGCGAACAAGUACCGUGAGGGAAAGUUGAAAAGCACUUUGAAGAGAGAGUUCAAGAGUACGUGAAACCGUUCAGGGGUAAACCUGAGAAACCCGAAAGGUCGAAAGGGGAAAUUCAUUCGCGUCUCGACAGUCGGAGCGGUGCGAUCGCGCGACGGACGGCAAACCAGCCGUCCGCGCCUUUCUUUCCGCGAUCCGGCGUCGAACGCGUGCACUUUUCCCCUAGUAGGACGUCGCGAUCCGUUGGGUGUCGGUCUAAGGCUCGCGGUGGAGCCCGAGCGCGCGUCUUCGGGCGUUCGCGCUCGGACCCGCGGUGUCCCGGCCGACCCGCUCGACGGUAUACAGAUGGCGCGGGGCCGCAAAUUCAAUUUGCGUUCGGCCCACGGCAAGCGCGUGCGGUGUUGACGGCGAUCGGACCUGGUGCCGAUCCCGUCCCCGGACGACUGUUGGCCGCGGUGCUCUCGAACAGACCUCGUUGUGAAACGCCGAUCUGCGACGCUAUAGCUUUGGGUACUUUCAGG
rnacentral:rRNA from 1 species